CACUGCUGGUGGGAAUGUAAGCUAGUUCAACCAUUGUGGAAAGCAGUAUGGAGGUUCCUCAAAAAACUAAAAAUAGAAACACCAUUUGAGCCUGGAAUCCCGCUCCUUGGAAUAUACCCAAAGAAUACAACUUCUCAGAUUCAAAAAGACAUAUGCACCCCUAUGUAUAUUGCAGCACUUUUUACAAUAACCAAGAUAUGGAAGCAACCUAAGCGUCCAUCAGUAGAUGAAUGGAUAAAGAAGAUGUGGUACAUAUACACAAUGGAAUACUAUUCAGCCAUAAGAAAGGAACAAAUUCUACCAUUUGCAGGAACAUGGAUGGAGCUGGAGGACAUUAUGCUCAGUGAAAUAAGCCAGGCGUGCGCACAGGGUCCCGGUGGCAUCUGACCCCACCAGCCCCGCUCUGCGCUUUUCCACAGUUCAAGUCAUUUUCCUCUUCCCGACUCGUCCCCUACCCUGGGCAAUGCAACCCCCACCCGGGAAAACCCGGACAAAACCGGAGAUUUCUUCUCCUUCCCAGUCAUACUCUGCCUCGUGCCUGUCUGUCCCUGUCCCCCUCGGCCUCUCUGUCUCUGGCGAGGGGGAAGGGGCCUGCGCGCCCCGGGGCCGACAUCUCCGCUUCCGAGGAGCCUUCCGUGGGCCCCCGCAGGAGCCUCGCGCGGCCUCCGUCACCAGACGCUGCCUGUGCGUCAGGACGCUUCUCAGCAUCCUGGGCCGCCUUCCUCCCCUGUUCUGGCCCCGCUGUCGGCGUUUAUCACGUGAGCACGCGGGGCCGAGCUACCCGGCCCCUCGCGGACUCCACCCUCGUUCGCACGGACGCGGCGUCACCACCUCGGCCUCCCCUGCCGGGCGCCUGUGUUCCCCUACACUGGCCACGGCGGGCCCUGGUUUUCACAGAUCAUCGAUCUGAGACGUGCUGGAUGUUAGGGGCUGGUUACAAGGGCAGACGCCCCCAGGCGGGGCUGAUGAGCCCAGGCUGUGCAAACCGCCCCCGGCUGGGCCCGCGUUCUCCUCCGGCACCUUCCGUGCCUACGGGGCCGGGACCGGCGCACGGCUUCACGGGCCAGGAAGGACCGAGGCCACCAACACAAGGAGGAAUCAGACUCCGGUGAGGCUGCCUUUCCGAGCUUGGGUUCUGACCCCGUUCAAUCAAGAAUCCCCACACCUUAGACUCUGCAGGACCACCAUUGCAAAUUUCCCACAUGAUCUAACUCUGCCUAACAGUUCUUCUUUAAAUGAACUCAAUUUACAAACAAAUGUGCCAUAAAACGAAGUGGCCCGUCACUUUCAGCAGAAAACUGGCAGCACCGUGACGCACGCAAGACCGUGUCCAGAGAGAGAGAAACAGGCUAUUACAUGCAAGGUGCUGAAGAUUCCCAGAAAGGGGCCGUUUUCCUUCUGCACUCUCCCUAAAAGGGAAAUGGGUAAUUAUGAGACAUUUUAACAACAUAAUUAUUCUAAGGUGAGCUUUCUUUUUGAUGCCAUCAAUGCGAUCUAAUAUUACUACAGACGGGUCCAUAUAUAGCCUUAAAAUUAUCUCCCAUGUUGGAUAAAUGAACUGUGCCAUUUGUAUGUCAAGCAAGGCAUAGUAAAGAUUCGGAAAUAAUGCCUUUUCUAACAAAUUAACUAUUCAAAUUGUGUGCAAAGUUGUAGUGUGUCAGAGCCAAGAGAGAUCUCAGAGCAUGCCUGAUAAUAAUAAAUACUUCCUCAGCGAUUCCUCUAUGCCAGGCAUUAUCCUAUGUUUUAUGAGGUCAUUCAGUCUUCAGUCUCCACAACAAAUAUGGGUAGGUAGUGUUAUUCCCAGCUUAUGGCUUAGAAAACUGGCAGCACAGUUGCGAAGACUGGAUAGCUUACAAUGCUUAUGUACGAGGCCACCUUACAUCCCCGGGUCCACACGUGGCCUUGGGCCUGCCAAGCAGACGCACACACGUGAGACCUGGAGAAGUAAGGUGCUGCCUGCGGGCAGAUUGCUUCCAGCAGACAGGAACCCCAGGAUGGCUGGAGCUGACCGUGCUGGGGUUUCUUCUCCCACCCAUCAAGUGAGCUGACUCAUCCCCACUUUCUUUUGGAAAACCCAGAGGAGGAGACACUUUUACAGGUAGAAAUGUCCAUGUACUCCUCUUCCUUUCCCAAUUUUGUAGAUUUAUCAGGUGUUUUACUACUGUUUCUCCUGGGCUUCUAAAUGUAUUUACUUAAUGUGUUCCCAAAUAAAAUAUAUACUCAAUCCAGAACAUAUUACUGAUGCAACACUAUGCUUUUAUAUUUUCUUAUGUUUAUCAACCCCAGUAAGUGAAAAGUAUUUACAUUUUUAAAGAAAUGGAUACCGUUGGUCAUUAUUUGCUUGAAUAAAAUUCCAUGAGGGUUUUUGGCAGGUUUGGUUUAUUGCUACAUCCUCAGUGUUUAAAAGUUCCUGGUAUGCAAAAGGUGUUUAAUAAAUGGUUGCUGAGCACAUAAGCCAAAUUACUUUUCAAGGGAGAGUUCGGAUAUUAAGUCCUCACUGUCCUCGUCUAAUGACAGGCCAGCUCAGGUUGAAUUCCUAGGAAACUAUUCCUGGCUACCCUUCAAGGGAAGGCAUCCCCAUGUUUUUCAUGUGCACAGGGUUCCUCUCUGUUAUGCAUUCUUUUCUGGUGUCUAACGAGAUAGGACUUGUCAAUGAAGGCCUUCUGGCAUUCAGAACAUUUGUAAGGUUUUUGUCCUGUGUGGGUCUUUCUAUGCAAAUUGAGGCCUAGCUUCCGGCUGAAGGAUUUUCCCCACUUCUGACGGCUGUAGGCCCUCUCUCCGCUGUGAACUUUCUGAUAGGUGUGAGGGUUUGACCUCUGAACGAAAGCUUUCCCACAUCUAUCACCAGUAUAGGACUUGGUCCCAGUAUGGAUUUUUUUAUGCUGAAUCAGGUUUUUCUUCAGGAUGAAGGUAUCAUCGCAUAGAUCACACUCAUAAGCUCUCUCCCCAGUAUGAAUUUUCUCAUGGUCCACGGCAUUUGAUUUCUGGGCAAAGGCCUUUUCACAUAUGCUGCACUUAUAAGGUUUCUCUCCGGUGUGUGUCCUCUGGUGUUUCAAGAGAUCUGACUUGGAAGUGGAAGCCUUUGCGCGGACAUUGCAGCCACAGGGCUUCUGUCCAGCUGCUUUCCUGUGCUGAAGGAGGGCGGAGUUCUGCUUGAGGGAUUGCCCACGUUCGUUACACCCAGACGCCUUCUCUACAUUAUGCCUCUUCUUGUGAUUGACGCAGGAUGAUUUCAAGGAAAAGGCCUUUCCACGUGUUUUACAUUUGUAGGGCUUCUUCUCCUCAGUAUGAGUUUUUUGAUGUUGGAUGAGAUCUGGCUCUUGUGUGUAGACUUUGCCGCAUUCUUUGCAUGUAUAGGAUUUGCCAUCCGUGCCCCUUUUCUGAUGCUGACCGAUCCCCGGUUCCCCCUGAGCACGCUCCCACAUUUGUCACUGUCGGGGGAUUUCUCACCAGCAUGCAUCCUUAGGUCACUCUGAAGGCAUGACUUGGGACUGAAUAACUUCUGACAGGCAUUCCCUUCAAAUUGUUUUUCUUCAAAUUUGGAUGGAUUAUGGCCAACUAGUUUUCUGUAUAUGUUACCAGAAUUUGUUUCCACACAGAGUUCCAUAUCUAAACUAUAUUUCAAAUGUUUUCCAAACGGGUUGCAUUCAAGGAGUCUGAGUCUUGAAGGAACACGUUUUCAGGCUGAGUCUGAAAUAUAGUUUAGAAUAACACAACUACUGAAGAAACUUACAUGUAUCGGGACAUGUGACUCUGAAAAGCACAAAAUAAGUUAAAAAGAGAAAAGAAAAUGUCACUUCUCCUUCGAGACUCUGCCCCACAUCCUGGAAUCUCCAGAUCUUCUCUUCCAUGCCCCGGUCUCCUUCUGAAACGGGGUACAAAGCAGCAUCCCAUGUGACUCUUUCCACACACGUGACUGAAAUGAAGUGGUAUAAACACUCAACUGUGGCAAUCUUUCCCAUUUGGGACCUAAUGUCUGGGGGAGAUGGACUGAAUCUACCAUUGAGGAAGGUUGAAGGAGUGGAUAUAAUCUCAGAUGGCAUUGAUCAAGAAUUAUCAAAAAAUAGGACGUUAGAGGGAGCUUAAUGUAACAACAGACGCAGAUGAAUAACUGCUGACGGUUUGCUCAAAGCAGGGAGCUGCGGAACGACUACAUAGCUCUCAUUUCAGAUAAAGAGAGCCGAACACCCACCACAGACUGAGUCAUCAGCAGGUUACCUGCAAUGCGUGCACGCUGGGGUUUUUGGGGGUUUUCCUAAGUAAUAAACAGAGCUAAGUCUGUAUUUAAGA